rnacentral:lncRNA from 1 species
CCUGGCUUAACCUGCAUGUUCUGGUUGUCUGUGUCAGCUGUGACAGGCCCUUAGCUGCUCCAUGCAUGCUCAGCUCACCCCUGCUCUGCCCUCUGCCCUAGGAAGAUCUUUGCCUUUGACCUGGAUGCCAGGCGGCUGGCAUCCAUGGCCACGCUGCUGGCCUGGGCUGGCGUCUCCUGCUGUGAGCUGGCUGAGGAGGACUUCCUGGCGGUCUCCCCCUUAGAUCCGCGCUAUCGUGAGGUCCACUAUGUCCUGCUGGAUCCUUCCUGCAGUGGCUCGGGUGAGAUGGUGAGAAGGCGUGGCUGAGGGACUCAGAGGUCCACAGCAGCUUAGACCUGGAGUCAUCUGUUUUGGUCUUAGUUCUGACACUUUAAUGGGCUUGGGACCCUGGAGCAAAAGUUCUCCUCUGUGAAGCGAGGAUUUCAGGAGCGAGGAUUUCAGGACUGAGGCAGCCUGUGAAGCUGUGUAACCGAGACACGCUUUUCCUUAGGUAUGCCGAGCAGACAGCUGGAGGAGCCCGGGGCAGGGACACCUAGCCCGCGGCUCGUCUACUCCAUGUGCUCCCUCUGCCAGGAGGAGAAUGAAGACAUGGUACAAGAUGCGCUGCAGCAGAACCCGGGCGCCUUCAGGCUAGCUCCCGCCCUGCCUGCCCGGCCCCACCGAGGCCUGAGCACGUUCCCGGGUGCCGAGCACUGCCUCCGGGCUUCCCCCAAGACCACGCUUAGCGGUGGCUUCUUCGUUGCUGUAAUUGAACGGGUCGAGAUGCCGACGUGAGUGAGUGGGGGCAUGCUUGGGAGGCGCAGGAUGGUACUGGCACAUCUAACAUCUACAUUUCUCUAGCUCAGCCUCACAGGCCAAAGCAUCAGCACCAGAACGCACACCCAGCCCAGCCCCAAAGAGAAAGAAGAGAGCAAAAAGCUGCAGCCGGUGCUUGCACACCGCCUUGCACAUAGCAGAGGCUCCGGGCUCACUCCUUCCUGGUGGGAAAGGAAGAUGCCUGUCCUCUCCGUGGAAGACCCUGGGCCCUCACCGCAGGCAGCAGUUUGCGUUUUGAAAGGUUAUUGGGUCCCUUCCUCGGGCUGUGUUCUUGCUGGUGAGCAAAAGUGUUGCCUGCAGAAAUAAAAUGCAGAACGUACUCUACGAUAGAUCACAGUUUUUUAUUCUUAAUGUCACAAGCAGGAGAAAAAUCUCACAUUCAUACUAAAAAUUCCAACUAGACUCAACAGGAAUGAAGUCUCUAUUUGUAAUGGAAAGUCCCAGCCUCCCGCUGCCGUCCAGUGCGUGUACUGUACACAUCCACACUCAUUCUCACUCAGGGUUCCCGGACCGGCUGUCCUGCCUGCGGAACUGAGGUAAACUAGCUCAGGUACUGACACUAGGAGGGUCUACCUUACAUAAGGUACAGGUAGAAGCUUGAUUGCUAGGCCCAGGCCCACCCAGACCCUCCAAUCCUAACAGGUAUUUAGGCUUGAGGUUCACUCCCUCCUCAGCUGCACACGCAGCCAGGUAUUAACGAGGAUCAGAGCUGUUCUGAGGGGUGGGAAGGAGCAGCCCCGCCACCACUCACUCACCCUCAGUCACAUCGGGGAGGGGGCACCAGUUACA